GGAGCAGCAGGGACUGGUUUGAAACUGCCUGCAGUACAAACUCUGCCCCUGCUGCUAAGA
rnacentral:pre_miRNA from 1 species